rnacentral:rRNA from 1 species
UACGAAGGGGGCUAGCGUUGUUCGGAAUUACUGGGCGUAAAGCGCGCGCAGGCGGCCUUAGAAGUCAGAUGUGAAAGCCCCGGGCUCAACCUGGGAAUGGCAUUUGAUACUCUGAGGCUGGAGUACGGGAGAGGAGAGUGGAAUUCCCAGUGUAGAGGUGAAAUUCGUAGAUAUUGGGAAGAACACCGGUGGCGAAGGCGGCUCUCUGGACCGUAACUGACGCUGAGGCGCGAAAGCGUGGGGAGCAAACAGG